rnacentral:lncRNA from 1 species
GGGAGUCAACAUAUAGUAAAUAUACAUAAAAUAGAAAAAAUUAUCUAGCAAUACAAUGUAAUUUUCCGUUGUUGUUGAAUGUGGCUCUGCCAUUGUCUGCAACUUUGCAUAGCAUAUAAGAGCUUAGACAUAGUUAUUAAGUAUCAAAGAAUUUGAUGAAAGUUUAUGUUGAAAAACAUAGUAUGCAUAAUUUGAGAUAGUCAUUUAUGCAUUUAGAAAGAACCACUUCUUUUAAUCACGUGAAACAUUUAUUGCGCUCUAAUGUUCUGGCAAGGAGCUUCCUCACGGUGAGCUCGCUAUUUGCCUUAAUCUAUGUACUGUCUCCCUAGGCAGCCUGGUAGUGCUCCGUGGUAUUGCCAAGCCAUGCGAGCUAACCGUGGGGAGGCAGCUUUUUUGCUCGGACUUCAAAUUGUGAUGUUUUUGUUGCUAUUUUGUCAUUCCAACACUCUUCCAAAUCAUACCAAACGCCCAUUAUCACGCCUCCAUCAUAUCACCUACAUCAUGGGAUCCAGUUAACAUAUUUGUGACACUUUAAUCAUGUCAUUAGAUCGUAAUUGACGUUUAAAAGUAUGGGAUCUAUAUUUUCUCCCACUUAAUUAGGAACAUUCAUCCUUGAAGGUUAGACAUGUCAUUCUUAAGGCUACUAUUGAACAUAGACCUGCGUGCAAAAUAAUGUUAGAAACCGUAAGAAAAAUUGGCCAAACACGUUAUUGCUUGUCAGUACAUCUUUGCAGUAAGUCUUCUUACUUAUCUGUAUAUAUAAUAAGGCCUCGUUACAAAGACCUUUUAAGUUUUAAGUGUUGAAAUUUAAUAUUUAUUUAUAGUAUUAUUUUUAUAUUUAUCACUUAAUAGAAAAAGAUUAACGACCCGUUUACCAUAGAUUUUGCCAAAAUAUAUUUGGUUUUUUUUUUUUGGCAAAUACAUGUUUGGCCAUAGAUUUUAUCUAUAUUUUGGCAAAUUUCCAAAACCCAAAACCUAAAUCCCAAAACCAGCUCAAAAUAUCACUAUUAUAUUUUUUAAAAUUGCCCCAAACUUUUGUAUUUUAUAAAAGAGUCCAUCUUUUAUUAUUUUAUAACAAUGCUACUUCGUCUUCUCGGUCAUCUGAUAGUGUAUUAUGUAGUUCAUUAUAAAAAUGAUAAUUUUGUACCAAAUUUAUUUAUGUUCAGGACUAUGAUUUGCGAUAAUAUAAUAAAUGUUAUUGAUAAAGGCACCAUUGGGUAUUUAUGAUAGUUUUUCACCAUUGGGUAUUUAUGAUAGUUUUUAGAACUUGCGGGUAUAAGUCAUGUUCCAUGUUUUUCACAAAAAAAGUGAAAUAUGUUUUGAAAAUUUAUGUCCAAACACAUUUUCAUCUUCAAACCAAACUUCAUUCAAAUCAGAUUUUGCAAAAUAAUUUUGGGAAUCUAUGACCAAACGUUAGCUAAGAGGCCUGAAAUUUCAGGAUGCUGCUUCGCAGCACUAAAGUUUUAGCCUUGUGAGCCAAAAAUUUCCUUCUCUGUCUACUGUAAGAAUACAUAUUCCUUUUGUGAUUUAAAUUCAAUGUCUAGUGAUUAACUAAAAAUUUAGACACAACAAUCUUGAUUAAUUAAAAUUAUUUAUUAUGUUUGAAUCACAUAAGGAUAUUAAGGACUAAUGUUUAAGUGAUCUAAGUAUUUUUUCUAAUAAAAUUGCCACAACAUCUUUGGUUGAAUAAAAUUUAAAGUUAAGGAUAUCAUAAGGAAAAAGAUAUUGAUAUUGUAAUUGAUUAUGCAUAAUAUAAUAACUUCAGAACUUUUAUUAUAUUUUUGCAUAAUUGAUUAGGAUAAAAUAUUAAAUGUUAUUUCAUAAUUACCUACUGUCACACCUCUUUUUUCCGAGGGAAUGUGGAGUUUUUUCCAAUUAAAGUGACAUUAUUCAAAAUGAAAUUAUUUAUUUAAUUUAGAGUCUCCACUUGGAAUAAUUUAUGGUGUCCCAAGAUAGCAGUUUAUUUUAAAUCCCAAAUCGAGGAAAUUUGACUCUUAUUUAUGUCUGCGAACACAAAAGACCGAGUAAGGAAUUCUGUUAACCCGGGAGAAGGUGUGAGGCAUUCCCGAGUUUCGUGAGUUUAGCACGGUCUCUCAACUAGUAUUAAUUGGCCUAAUUAAGUGAAUUAUUACAUGUUUAGAGCCUAUUGUGCAUUUUUUACUUUCUAACCGCUUUUAUUUAACUGUUUUGAGUAUUUAUGGAAUUUAUUUGAACAAGUUGCGAUGUCGCGCACUCAUUUAUUUUUGUACACAUUGCGAAUCGUGUCACGUGAAACGCACCCGCGAUUUAUAAUUUAUUAUUAUUUAAAGUUAUGGUUGAGUCACGUAAAAUACACACUCGAAUUGGGAUUAUGCAUCAUGACUAUGCUACAGGAAUUGUACCCAUAGUCACGAUAAUUUAUUAGUCGCGCCUAAAGCAAGCUACGAUGUUCAUGAAUAAUUAUUAUUCCUAAGUUUGAGAUCGAUCAUGAAGGUCCAAAGUUUAUGGAAAAGCGUAUGAUAGUGCUUAACUAGACAACUUCAAUUAUUUAACAAGUUCAAAUUAAUAUCUUUUGUUCUUCCUUCAAUUAGCAAACCACUAAUAAUAAACUAAGUGGGUGUUCUUUUCUUGAUUACUUAUAUCAAACAUGGAUUAUUGCGAGAAAAAUUAUGGCAAGCCUCACUACGCUGGGCCUUCAUAUUAAACCUCCAAUCAGGUCAUGCAAACAAGAAUAGAAAUGGGUUCACUGGAGUCCGAAAGUGACUCUUGAAAAUGGCUAGCCCUUUAAGUAGGCCAACAAAUCUUUUGUGGGGACUUAAACCAUUAAUCCAUACAUUUGUCGAGUCCAAACUGACUCUCAUUUCAUACACGGUCCAUCGAUGUGUAGUUUUCUUAACGUGAUUUUGAAAGGCACAAAUCAAUAAAUACACAUGUUUAUACUACAACAUAUUCAACAUAUUGAAGAAACAGAACCAAAGAAGAACAUAGCCACACAUGUAAUUUCUUCUAACAAACUACAGUAUCAUCCAUUAUUACAUUCACAAUUACCAAGAUCUAGAGCAUAUAACAAAUUUACAUGCUUUCAGUUCCAUAUGACCUUCAACGAAUGACCUUCAGCUAUCCAAAUUUCCUAUGACUUUACCUGUUUCUCAUUAAAGAUUUAACCAAAUACUUGAUUUUUCCAGUAAUUUCAGAGAUUAAAGAAGGAAAGAACUUCAAAUAGAUUUAGACUUUAGACAUGUUGAAUCCAAACUAUUGAACAUAAUUAGAGAAAGCAGUAUCAUAAUCUUAACAUGGAAAUAAUAUAAAAUGCUUAAUAACUUCACAUGCUAAGUCUAUGCAUUUGGCCAUAAUUAUGACAAAUAGAUCGAAUUUUCUCAUAUAGACUUCAAACAGGGGCAACAGAUAUGUGAACAUACCUAAGUAACCAAAGAAUAAUAGAGAAUGGUCAAAGGAUGGUUUGAAAAUGAAAUAGGAAAUCCAGCAAGUCCAGCAACAGUGGAUUCAAUAACUUCAACACCUCUAUCAGCUCAAUCGACUCAGAGAAAACCAGAAAAUAUAGUGAUUGAAUAGAAAUCAGAAAACCAACUCUAGACUUCCUUCUUCAUCCCUUUUUAUGACCUUUUUCCUUGCCUUUUUGGGAGUUUUAAACUUUUUCUAAAUCUGAAGACUAGAGGUUGAAAUCCAGAUUUUUGUUUGAAUUAAAAAAAAUGAGGAGAAGAUAGUGAAUUCUCUUAAAAUUUCUCUCGACAGUGUGAAAAUUAGUCUCAAAAACGAAGAAAAGAGUAUGAAUUUCAGAGUGUGUUUUCGUGUGUGUGAGUGAGUAAUAUAUGGCCCUCUUAUAUAGAGUGUGAGAAUAUGUUAUGUGCACACAAAAAUUAGAGAAUAAUUCUGGAAUGUCAGUCUCUAAAUUUUAGGAAAAAAAGCAUUUUUUUCAACUGAAAAUUGACAGUUGUCCCUGUUUCUAGAUAAUUCUUUUUAUUUCCUACCUUUUAGCUUCUGAAAAUCACCUCUUUUAACCCAAAAUGACCUAAUUCUUUCAUCUUAUUGCAUUUUAGCCCUUUUUCUAGAAGCUUCUUCUAAGCUUUCAACAGAUGAAAUUGUUCUCAUCUUAAUCAAACAUGUACUGCCCUUCUUAUGGGCAGUACCCAGACAUCUGGGCUGCCUGGCCAGCAGACCCAACUCUUCAAGCUAAAAGCCAUGUCCAAUGGGCUUGCCUGUGAAUACAGCAUGCCCAACGUCUUAAUAAAAUACACCAAUCAAAUCUGCUAGUUGGCUGAAUUAAUCCUUAAUCUAAAUAUGCAGUUAAUUCUUAAUCUAAUCAUGAAAUUGAUUCCCAAUAUAAGAAACAACAAAUUAAGAGUUAUUACCAUACUAUGUGAACUUGAAAUUACUAAAUACAACAAAAAGAAAAAGAAAAGAAAAAAAAUGAUAAACUAAGAUAUGGAAUAAUAAAAUAGUGACUAACAAGGAAAGAAGAUCAAGCUACCUACUGGCUCCAAGUGAAAAGAGUGAGAAGGAACUCCCCAAAACUGUACAGGCCCGAGCACGAAACGUCCGAUUACUGCCUUGAACUUCAGCGGCUUCGAAACGAACUAAAACUGACAUAAAUCGAUUGCUCUCGUCAUGAGCAAACGAUUCACGUAAGUUUGAGUCGAAUCGAAUCAAAUAUCAAAGAUAAACAAGAAAAAAAAGAAAACAGUUAGGAUUUUUGGGAUUCUAAGAUAAAAAAUUUGUGAGAUUUGAGUGGCUUUUUGGGGAAAUUGAUGAGGGGAUAGAGAUGAGGAGGGUGAGGAUUAUGAGGUGUUAAUUUAGGGUGGUUUGGAGUGGCACUGUAACGAUCUGACCGGUCGUUUUGAGCUUUUGCACUUUGCUCGCCAGUUCUCGGGCAUGGAUAGUCCCGUGUGAUGUAUUAUCACUCAUGUAAACCGUUGGUUUUGGUUUUCAGGGUAAUCAGAAUGAAUUUUGAAGGACAGUUCUCAGUUUGAAGCUUGAAAUUUGGAAGGUUUGACUGAGAUUUGACUUGUUUGAAUAUGAUCUUGGAUAGGAGUUUUUAUGAUUUGGUUAGUUCUGUUAGGUUAUUUGGGACUUAGGAGCGUGAUCGAAAUGCAUUUUGGAUGUCCGUAGAAUAUUUAGGCUUGAAUUGGCGAAAUUGAGAUUUUGGCAUUUUUUGGUUGACAGGUGAGAUUUUGAUAUAGGGGUCGGAAUGGAAUUUCGAAAGUUUCAGUAGCUCCGUUGUAUCAUUUUUGACGUGUGUGCAAAAUUUUAGGUUAUUCGGACAAUGUUUGGUAGACUUUUUGAUCGAAAGCGGAAUCUGGAAGUUCUUGGAAUUCUUAGGCUCGAAUCCGAUGUGAUUUUUGUGUUUUGAUGUUGUUUUGAGUGUUCCGAAGGUUGGAACAAGUUCGAAUGAGGUUAUGGGAUAUGUUGGCAUGUUUGGUUGUGGUCCCGAGGGGCUCGAGCACGUUUUCAGAUUGAUUCCGGGCUAUUUUUCCUUCAUGUUUCACUACUGUAUUCUGCUGAUAUCUGGUGCCUCAGUAUUUCAUCGCGUUUGCGAGGCACGUGUCGUGAAUGUGUAGUGUAUUCUCAUGGCAGCAGCAAAUUUCUCUUCGCGAUCGCAAAGUUUGUCCCGCAUUCGUAUAGUGUUAGGUAAUGACUUCUUCGCGUUCACGUAUGGCAUAUCGCGUUCGCAUAGAGUCGGGCUAGGAGCUGGGCUGGAGAGCCUUUCUUCAUCGCGUUCGCGAGUCUUGGGACGCGUUCACAUAGCUUUGUAUCUAGUGUGUAUCGCGUUAGCGAGGCUGGUGCCGCGAACACAUAGAGCAUUUUUGAUGGCUGGUGUUUUUGUUCAUCGCGAACGCGAUGGUUAUACCACGUUCGCGAAGAUUGUUUUUGAUGUCUGGGCAGAAUGUUUAAAUAGUCAUUGUUCGCGAUUUUGGGGCUAACUUUCAUCAUUUUUGGAGCUUUUGAGAAGGAUUGAAGAUUGAAUCGAAGGGAAACACCUGGAGGUAAGAUUUUUGAACUCAAUACUCGAUCCUAUGUCUUACUUGUUUAAUCAUGAAAUAUGUAGAAAUUAAAGCCUAAAAUUGGGGAAUUAGGGCUUGAAUUUGGAUAGUGUAAAUUGGGAAUUUGAAGGGGCAAUUGAGGUCUGAUUUUGAUAUCCUUGGUGUGUAUAAACUCGUGAGAGGAUGGAGAUUCUAUUGAUGUGACAUUUAUCGGAUUUCGAGACGUGGGCCCGAGGGCCGGGUUUGAGCAAUUUUGGGAUUUUUGAUAUAAAUUGGAUAUUUUCGAGUGGGCUUUAUUCCUUUAACAUAUUUUAAUGGUAUGUUCUAAUUAUGGCUAGAUUUGGAGCAUCCGGAGGUCGAUUCAUGAGGGAAAAGGCAUCGCAGGCUAGAGUUGGACCGGAUCAAGGUGAGUAAUGAUUGUAAAUGAUGUCCUGAGGGUAUGAAACCCCAAAUUGCAUGUCGUUGUGCUAUAUUGAGGUGACGCACAUGCUUGAUGACGAGCGUGGUGUCGUGUGUUGUUGGGGAUUGUGACUUAGUCCGUCCCGAAUGACUAUUUUACCACGUAUUUGAUUGAAAUUUAUUUGUGAACAUCAUGUUUUGGGUUGAACGCCAUAUUUGGGCCUCGUGCCAACUAUUUGAACCCUUCGGGGAUUUUUAUUAAUAUUUCCUUACUGUUUAAACUUUAUAUUUGAACUCAGUCAUGUUAUAUUCCACUAUUUUCAUACUCAACCAUGUUUACUAUGUUUUAACACUUAAAUGAUCUUUUAAAUGAUAAUUGGGCUGAGAAUCAUGUUUUACUACUGCCGAGUGGCUUGUGAGGAUUUUUGACUGAGUAAGGCCUAGGGCCUAUGUUGUGAGGAAACACUGAUCAUGAUUUGAGGCUGAGGGCCUGCGAUAUGCACGCCACGAGGUGGCUUGUUGAUAUGAGGCCGAGAGCCUAGUGAUGAUGCCACGAGAUGACUUGAUAUUGCGCUUGGGCCGUAAGGGGCCCCUCUAGGAGUCUGCACACCCCCAGUGAGCGCCGAUACCUAUUGUGAUGUGAGAUAUAGCCCGAGGGGCUGGUAUUGUUCUGAGAUAUUGCCCGAUGGGCGGAUUUGUUGACUUUGUGCCCGAGGGGCGAACCUUUAUGUGUUUAUCUUUCUUAUUUGUUUUCCAUUACCUGUUUAAUUGUUGAAAAGGUAUUUCCCUGAAGUUUAACUAAACUUAAAUGAUUUUUUCGUAUUUUUACUGGUUUUACUGCUUUAUUAUAGCCUGUAAUGUGCCUUACGUGCUUUUUUAUAUCUCAGUCGUUUAUUUAUGAUUAUUACUCACUGAGUUGGAGUACUUACUUUACUCCCUGCACCCUAUGUGCAGAUUUAGGCACAUCUGGUCCCGCUCCCGAGUGCUGAUCUUUCCAGCUCAGGCAGAUCCUAGGAGUCUCUAGGUAGCUGUCGGCGUUCGCACCCCAGAGCUUCUUCCCUAUCUUAUUUCUCCUUGUCUUAGUUUUGUAUUGAACUCUAUAGACUUUUCUUGAUUAUUCCGGAUUUUAGAUGCUCAUGACUAGUGACACCCCAGUAUCGGGCUGUGUUGAGUUUUAUUUCCGCAAACUGUACUGUUAACAGAAAAUAACAGAAAAUGAUCAAAGGAUGGUCUAAGAAUGAAAGAGGAAAUCCAUCAAGUCCAGCAGCAGUGGAUUCAAUAACUUCAACACCUCUAACAACUCAAUCGACUCGGAGAAAACCAGAAAAUAUAGUGAUUGAAUAGAAAUCAGAAAACCAACUCUAGACUUCCUUCUUCUUCCCUUUUUAUGACCUUUUUCCUUGCCUUUUUGGGAGUUCUGAACUUUUUCUAAAUAUGAAGACUAGAGGUUGAAAUCCAGAUUUUUGUUUGAAUUAAAAAAAAUUAGGAGAAGAUAGUGAAUUCUCUGAAAAUCUCCCUCGUUAGUGUGAAAAUCAGUCUCAAAAAUGAAGAAAAGAGUAUGAAUUUCAGAG